rnacentral:lncRNA from 1 species
AAUUGCUAAGGUGUAGUCUCAAGUCCUAAAAAAGCAAAGUUCAGGAAGUGGGACUCCCUGAAGAAACAGGAAAGAGCACAGGAGAUGAGGAACAAACACAGCCAAUGGUGAGGCCCUCAGCAGGGAGCAAGGAGGGGGUGCUGUUGUUAAUAAAAAAAGAAGAAAGAAGAUUUUCAUCUAAAAUGAGAAAAGAGGAGAGAAAACAGCUGCAUUUAUGCAAGAUGGGGCAAAGACAUGGAAGAUACGGGCCCUCACUGUAUAGUAGCUAUAUCAGUCUUCUUGGGCUGCCCCAAGUCUCUGGUCUUGGAUGUUUCUGGUUGUCUGGCUGGACGGCUUAAACAACAGGAG